UUAGGUACUCCCUUUGUCCUCUUUUGUAGGACUUAAGGAAUCACCUGACAAAUGAUCACUGCAAAGUACUAGGAGUGGCCAAGAUGGAAAGAAACUGAAAAUAUCCUCAGUACGUGAAAUACACCUUAGAUAGAUGGACACAAGGAAAAAAAUUAUGCCAUACGAAGGUGUAUGGAUGGAGUAUAUAUUUUUUCGAUUAGCUCUCCAAGCACAUGGAAGAUGGAAGGAUUUAAUGGCGUAGUUAAUAAAAAAAGGUUGACCCAACUGUAUGCCCAACUCUCACAUUACUAUGAAAAAGGGUUGUGCAAAGAUUAUCUCUAAAUUUGGUGGCUACAUUGGUGGUUAGAUUUGGAGAUAUACCCACAGAAGUCCGAUAUAGUCAGAACUCUCUGGUGGCUUAAGGAUGCCCUGCUCACUGAUGAGGCAGAGAAAGUUGGAGCUGGUGAGGCAUCAUGCAGUGUGAGUAGGACGGAAGUGAAGAGAAGGGCGAGAAGCCGAGAACCUACCGAUGGAGGUCGAACAUGACGGCCUUCUCCGUGGUGAUGGUUUUGGAUUUGCGGCCUCAGAUUUCCUUACGACGUCUCAAGAGGAUUUGCUUCUCGCUGUAUCAGGGGCCUUGCCCAAUGGGCGUAUAAUUCAUGAAUACAAACUUGCACGUGCUAUCUGCGCCCACCGCAGCAUGGGUCCACCAGAAGCUCCCCCAUCUCUUGUUUGCCGCUGGCUCUCCAUCUCGUGUCUUUCAUCCCAUGCCCUGUCCACCGGUUCCCUGCCGCACGUGUAGGCCAUCGCUGUCUCGCAUCCCCCGUCGGCUUCCUGUCUCCCCAUUGACACAUGUACUGUCCAGCUACGGGAAACAGCUCAUCCUCCACAGCGCGCUGCUAGUUUGCUACAUUGAGGUACUUCUUUGUUCUACCUUGCCCCCACUCUAUACUUUUUGUUGCUUCGAAAUUGUUUAUAUUGGGCAUAUAGUUGGAAAUUUGCUUGGCCUGUUGGAAGCAAAAAUUGGUAUUGCUUUUCUGUGCUACUAGGUCAUCUUGCUAAAUAUAGAAGUAUCAGGGCCAAUUAACUACAGUACAAUUUACUAUCGAUUAAUCUAUAUUUUUCUUACGAGCUCUAUUAUUGACCUAUCUUUAAUGGUCUAAUGGAUGUAUUAGGGAGAAUACCGGAGAUAGGAGGUGACUUGUGAAUGUGGAAUCAUCAGUUACUAAUUUACUACCUGUAUGUAGUAUUGCCCAAGUAAGAGAACCUGCCUAUAUAAAUACAACCCUUGCCAAUUAGUUAUUUCUGCAGUUUGACACUCAGCUGACCCUACUGUCUGAUUAUCAUGUGCUAGUAGUUAAUCUGUUAAAAUCAUGCAGAGGAUCGAUGCACAACACAAUGUAUUUCUUUAUUAUUAUUGACUAGCACUCUGGUCAUUAUAUAUGACCAGCACAUCGACACAUGACAUGUGCUAGUAGUCUAUAUAUAUGACCACUUGACCAGCACUUCGUCUUUCCAUGUACAUCCUUAUAUAAUCUUGUUUUUCCUACAAAUUGUGUAAUCUUAGUCGUGUCCACAAGAUAUUUGGCUCUGCUGCUGAUGUAAGAAGCAAACAAAAUUCACCCUGAUUAUAUGUUCAAGUCCCAUUUUUUUUUUUUGCGAAUUUAUUCUAUUAAACUAACUAGGACACCAAGGCUUAUUAGUUCACCAUUGAUAGUUUUCUGAAACUGCAGGAACUAUCGUUCUGCAAAGAUGGUGUUCACAAAUUUCAACCUCAGUGGAUCAAGAAAGAAUCCUAGUCCCUAGUGCAUUGCAUUGCUGAUAACCUUCAUGAUCAUUUCUUACUGGUUAGUGAUGUAUGGUUAGAAAAUUGUAGACCAGUAUUAUCAUGCAACUCAAAUUACCAAUUUCUUACUGUAUGUACAGGCAUGCAGCAAAAUUGAUGGUGCAUU